GAUGAACGCUGGCGGCGUGCCUAAUACAUGCAAGUCGAGCGAACGGACGAGAAGCUUGCUUCUCUGAUGUUAGCGGCGGACGGGUGAGUAACACGUGGAUAACCUACCUAUAAGACUGGGAUAACUUCGGGAAACCGGAGCUAAUACCGGAUAAUAUUUUGAACCGCAUGGUUCAAAAGUGAAAGACGGUCUUGCUGUCACUUAUAGAUGGAUCCGCGCUGCAUUAGCUAGUUGGUAAGGUAACGGCUUACCAAGGCAACGAUGCAUAGCCGACCUGAGAGGGUGAUCGGCCACACUGGAACUGAGACACGGUCCAGACUCCUACGGGAGGCAGCAGUAGGGAAUCUUCCGCAAUGGGCGGAAGCCUGAUGCAGCAACGCCGCGUGCGGGAUGACGGCCUUCGGGUUGUAAACCGCUUUCGCCUGUGACGAAGCGUGAGUGACGGUAAUGGGUAAAGAAGCACCGGCUAACUACGUG
rnacentral:rRNA from 1 species